GUCUACGGCCAUGCCACUCUGAACAAGCCUGAUCUCACAUGACCUCGGAAACAAAGCAGGGUCGGGCCUGGUUAGUAUCUGGAUGGGAGACCACCUAGGAAGACCAGGUGCUGUAAGCG
rnacentral:rRNA from 1 species